rnacentral:rRNA from 1 species
AUUGAACGCUGGCGGCAGGCCUAACACAUGCAAGUCGAGCGGAUGAAGGGAGCUUGCUCCUGGAUUCAGCGGCGGACGGGGGAGUAAUGCCUAGGAAUCUGCCUGGUAGUGGGGGAUAACGUCCGGAAACGGGCGCUAAUACCGCAUACGUCCUGAGGGAGAAAGUGGGGGAUCUUCGGACCUCACGCUAUCAGAUGAGCCUAGGUCGGAUUAGCUAGUUGGUGGGGUAAAGGCCUACCAAGGCGACGAUCCGUAACUGGUCUGAGAGGAUGAUCAGUCACACUGGAACUGAGACACGGUCCAGACUCCUACGGGAGGCAGCAGUGGGGAAUGUUGGACAAUGGGCGAAAGCCUGAUCCAGCCAUGCCGCGUGUGUGAAGAAGGUCUUCGGAUUGUAAAGCACUUUAAGUUGGGAGGAAGGGCAGUAAGUUAAUACCUUGCUGUUUUGACGUUACCAACAGAAUAAGCACCGGCUAACUUCGUG